AGAGUUUGAUCAUGGCUCAGGACUAACGCUGGCGGCGUGCCUAACACAUGCAAGUCGAACGAAGUAGCAAUACUUAGUGGCAGACGGGUGAGUAACACGUAGUCAACCUACCUUUAAGUGGGGGAUAACUAGCCGAAAGGUUAGCUAAUACCGCAUACGAUCUUCGAGUGGCAUCGUUUGAAGAUGAAAGGAGCAAUCCG
rnacentral:rRNA from 1 species